CCCGGUCCGGGUCGGCUGGGCUGCCCGCCGCUCCGCGCGCCCGGGCGGUCGCAGGUCGCGCCUGCUUUGGCCCCGGCGGGUUCGGCAUCCGAGCCUGGCAGGGGCCAAUAGACAGGGCCUCUGGAGUGCAGUGGCGUGAUCUCGGCUCACUACAGCGUCUGCCUACCGUGUUCAAGCGAUCCUCCCACCUCAGCCUGUUGAGCAACCGGGACCCCAGGGUUGUGCCUAUUGGACCGCCCGCCUCACCAUCCCACGCUACUGAGCCUCCUUCCUCAGCCAUUGUCCAGCUUCGUGUCAAGUCCUGGCGUGGGGCUCACCGCCUGCCCCUUGACCGUGGAGUUCGGACGCGUCUCACAAAAGUUUCCUACACUACUGAGGUUUAGGGGCACUGUGAAGCAAAAGCCACGCCUCAGAAUCCCAGGCGGAGACUCCGACCUCGUCCCGGGAGGGAAGCCAGUAGCUGAGCACCUGCGGGAGAUUAAAGAGAGGAAUAAGGAGAAACACUGGAAGGCAAGUGGCUGCUGACUGGAGGAGAUAAUUGGAUGCUGCAAGCGGCAAAGGGCUCGGGAUGCAAAACACCGCAAGAAAUGCAACAAGUGAGGAGCAUUCCCGCAAAGAAAAAACGCACAGGCCGAGAGCAGUGGCUCACGCCUGUAAUCCCAGCAGUUUGGGAGGCCGAGGCAGGUGCAUCGCUUGAGGACAGGAGUUCGAGACUAGGCUGGCCAACAUGGUGAAACCCCAUCUCUACUAAAAAUACAAAAAAAAAAAAAA
rnacentral:lncRNA from 1 species